AACGAACGCUGGCGGCAUGCCUAACACAUGCAAGUCGAACGAGACCUUCGGGUCUAGUGGCGCACGGGUGCGUAACGCGUGGGAACCUGCCUUUAGGUUCGGAAUAACUCAGAGAAAUUUGAGCUAAUACCGGAUGAUGUCUUCGGACCAAAGAUUUAUCGCCUUUAGAUGGGCCCGCGUUGGAUUAGCUAGUUGGUGUGGUAAAGGCCUACCAAGGCGACGAUCCAUAGCUGGUCUGAGAGGAUGAUCAGCCACACUGGGACUGAGACACGGCCCAGACUCCUACGGGAGGCAGCAGUGGGGAAUAUUGGACAAUGGGCGAAAGCCUGAUCCAGCAAUGCCGCGUGAGUGAUGAAGGCCUUAGGGUUGUAAAGCUCUUUUACCCGAGAUGAUAAUGACAGUAUCGGGAGAAUAAGCUCCGGCUAACUCCGUG
rnacentral:rRNA from 1 species